rnacentral:lncRNA from 1 species
AUUCUUUUCCCAUAUAGGUUAUCACAGAAUACUGGAUAGAGUUCCCUGGGCUGUACCGCAGGUCCCUGUUAACCAUCCAUUCCACACGCAAUAGUGUGCACAUGCCAAUACCAACCCUCCCUGCCGCCAUCCAUCCCCCUCCACCUGCCCCCUUUAGUAACCAUAAGUUUGUUUUGGAAGGUUUUGAGUCUGAUUCUGUUUUGUUAACAAGGUUCUUUGUACCUUCUUUAUUAGAUUCCACGUACAAGUGAUAUCAUAUGAUAAUUAUCUUUCUCUGCCUGACUUACUUCACUUAAUAUGAUAAUCUCUAGGUUCAUCCAUGUUGCUGCCAAUGGCAUGAUUUCAUUGUUUUUGUGGCUCUGUUCCUCUGUUGAUGGACAUUUAAGUUGCUUCCAUGUCUAGGCUGUUGUAAAUAGUGCUGCAAUGAACACUGAGGUACAUGUAUCUCUUUGAAUUAUGUUUUUCUCUGGAUAUAUGCCUGGAGUGGGAUUGCUAGAUCAUAUGCUAGUUCUAUUUUUAAUUUUUUAAGGAACCUCCAUACUGUUUUCAACAAUGGCUUCACCAAUUUACAUUCCCACCAACAAUGUAGGAGGGUUCCCUUUUCUCCAAACCAUCAGAGGAAUUUUGUGACUGUCUGCUUUUUUAAAAUUUUGUUUUAAUUGAAGUAGAGUUAAUUUACAAUGGUGUAUUUGUGUACAGUAAAGUGAAAGUUGUUACAGGUUAUACAUGAUGGUUAUUACAAAAUGUUGAAUAUCAUUUCUUGUGCUAUACAGUAGGUCCUUGUUGGUUAUUUUAUAUAUAGUAGUGUGUAUAUGUUAAUCCCAAACUCCUAAUUUUAUCUAUCUUCCCCUCCUCCCUAUAUCCCCUUUGGUAAACAUGAGUUUGUUUUCUAUGUUUGUGAGUCUAUUUCUGUUUUGUAAAUAAGCUCAUUUUAUCAUUUAAUAGAUUCCACAUUUAAGUGAUAGCACAUGGUACUGUCUGCUUCUGUCAGACUUCACUUGAUAGAUAAUCUCUAGGUCUAUCCAUGUUGCUGCAAAUGGCAUCAUUUCAUUCUUUUUUAUGGCUGAGUACUAUUCCACUGUGUAUAUACGUGCCACAUCUUCUUUACCCAUUCAUCUGUUGAUGGGCACUUAGGUUGCUUCCAUGGGCAUAGUCUUGAUUUGUUCUAGGUGGAGGAAAACUGUUUAUGUGUUGGUUCCCCAUGCUAAAGUGUGCCACCAAACACAUUUCCUGGAACCUCUCAAUAAAUGUUUGUUAA